ACGGUUAGGGUUUCCCCUACCUCUCCUCACUGUUGCGCCACCGCGCACUCCUCUUUGGGGGCGGCGGUCAGUCACCACCACCAGCAUGCGACGGAGGCUAUGGGAGGGCAGCAUCACAGGUGAAGGAGGGUCAGCCGUGACUCCGGUCGACAUGGCGCUGUGAAGACCCAUGGUUACAUCAACUACCUCAUUGAUAGUGAUGGCAGCAAGCUCGUCUUCGGUCUUAUCCCUAACGCUGGCACCAUCCACGCCCACGGCGAGGAGAUCGUCAAGAUCCCUGUCUUGCUCAUCUUUGACGACAUCAAGAGCAUCUACAAGGACAUCCAACCCGGGAGCAUGAUCCCCUACCUCAUCCGCAUGGUCCUUCUCGUCAACAUCCCCAUCAUCGGUCAGAUCAAGAUCCCGCUCGAGAGGACCGAUGAGAUCCCCGUCCCCUACUUUGACCUCGGACUCAGCAUGCUCCAGUACGAGAUGUGGCUCGCCGACGACAGCAUCGCCGAUGACAGCGGAAGGAAGAGACGCUCGAGGAGGUGCUCUUGAGGCACAGGUACAUAUGCUAUAUGUGAUUGAUGCUAGAUGACUGCAAAUUGGUAGUAGCGAAGUUCAUUUUUGUCAGACAUAUGCCAGAUUGCAUUUACUCCGCAUUGCUUGGAUAAUGGGAAAGAUAACCAAACGGUCCGAUUUUGAGCCAACCAGUCUAAAUGAAAAGGAUUAAAGUGCUGCUGUAAGAGAACAGCCAAGAUAGUGAAGCAAGGAGAAUGUCGUGUGUGGAUUGUCCACAUGUGCGCUUGCUGCUAGUCGAGCUCUUGCUUUAGUUCUUGAUGUCUUGUUUGAUUACCGAUCUGAUGUGUGAACCUCCUCUGCGUCCUAUGCUUCAUUGUGCACUGGUGUUCAAAUUAGUACAUGAUUGGUUUUCAUAUCUUUGUUUAGUAAGUGCAUGAGGAA